rnacentral:lncRNA from 1 species
AAGGAACAUGGAAACUAACACCAUAUAUUGAGGGGCCUGGGAUUCAUUUAACAUCAGCAAAUGACGUUGCAUUGGCAGAUAGUAGGCUUGGUGCAAAUUCCUCCGAAUAGGGCCUGCUUCCUGCACUCCCUGAUACACGCGUAAUCAUCAGUACAGGGGUUGAAUGGCAAAUCAACCUUGCAUAGCAUCUGUGCCGAAACACCCUCUGCAUCAAGUUUUGUCAAGCAUGAAUUAUGUGAGAGAAACACAACCUUCAUCUUAAGUUUAAAGAGAGAGAGAAAAGAGUUUAUUGGCACUUUGAUAGUAAAUUGACAGACUCUUAAAAUGACCAGAAAUUUGUAUGCACCCUUGAUUAUGAAUCUUAAACAACCAAAAUGCUGUAGAUUGAGUAAAUCUAUAAACAUUUGAAAUUCUUGAAAACAUCCUCAAUAACCAUCUAGUUGUAAUUAGAUGCAUCCUGAAAUUUCAAACUUAAAACAAAAAAGAAAAGCAAAACUGGAUCCCACAAUUACUUAUGCCCGUUGUUUCAAAGCCCGGAUCGGUAGGGCUGAUUGUUCACCCAUAGAUCUAUGAUGGAUCGUUACAUCGGACAUUCAGAUUCGGCUGCAUCUAUCCGAAUCGGUCAUCCAGAAGAAACACGGAUUUAAGGGGGGGAACCAGGCCAAGACCCAUACCAUCUUGGAAUUGCCCAAUCGAUUCCCAUCUCAACGACCUCGAUUGGAAAUUGC